GCCUGGGGAGAACCGCAGAGUCUCGCCUUCAGGCGUUUGGACUCAGUGGAGGUUGUGAGUGCCCAGCAGUGUGGCCUGAAUCUCCGUGGGGUUUCGGGAGACGAAAGGACCCCAGAUCGACGUCCCCUCAUUCCCACUUUGGGGAUCGGCGCUCUGGCUGUUUCGUGAAGGAGAGAGAGGUUGAUUCCAUACCCUGGCUAUUGUGAAUAAUGCUGCAGUGAACACGGGAGUACAUACAUCUGUUUGAGGUACUAAUUUCAUUUCCUUUGGAUAUAUACUCAGAAGAGGGACUGCUGGAUCAUUUGAAACUCAGAGUGGUUUUCCAGAUGGGAAUCACAUUGCUCUCUGUCCCUGAGAUCUUGCUGGAGACAGGGCUACUCAGUCCCUCUUUGCCAGCUCUUCAUGUGGAUGUCUAAGCUCAUAUCAGGUGUCUGAAAGAGGCAGAUUCUGAGGAUUUGGGUCAUGAUGGCUGCCAAAGCUUCUACUCCUGACUUAAAGGGCAACAAUCCUAGGAGACCACCAGCACUUACAUCCCUGGUAGGACAUGACACCUGCUUAUGGCUCAGAAGUGACAAAAGAGAAUUAUCAGGAUGGCAGUCCUUAUAACCAGAUGCUUAUCAACGUUCUUCACUACAUUCUGAAGAUGAAUUUCUACAAGGGAAAUUGUUUAUGGAGGCAGCAGAUGGCUGAAAUUCUGAUCCGAUGUGGCUGGUUAAUGCAUGAUCUGAAAACCCCUGCACUGGUGAUUUUGGGACAGAUCUAGAAUAUACAAAUAAAUAUAUUAACAUACCAAGUAGUCUAGGAGCAGCCACUGGGCAAACACCAAACCUUGCAUCCCUGGUGCUGUCUCUGAGCUCAGCAGACACGUCUUUGCAGAAGAGUUCGAUAAUGGUGGUACAAUUUGCGCCCCCUCGUGACAGAAGCUUGAACUACAGCUUGAACGUCGUGUGACCUGGUGAAUGAAUUUAUUGAGCCCCAGGAAGAAGGAAUAUUAAAGAAGAGCAAAGAAUAGUAGCUGGACAGAAGAUGGGGGUCAUUGAACUUAUAUCCUAGUUGCCAGACCAGUAAACUGACCACGGGACCUGGGGGAGGCAGCAGAUGACCGACAACCUGGAGUGAUGUGGCUGAAUACCACAUGAUCCGAAGACUCUGCACUGGUGGCUGCGAUAAAUGCAUGGGGGCAAGAUGGCAGAUAGGAGGCAGGACUAGCUUGUAGCUCCUGCUGAGAUGGACAGAGCAGCAUGUGGAGACUCAUACUGUAAACCUUUGCUCCAAGAAGCACUGCAGGAACAUACCAGGAAAGCUGAGAGAAUCCACAGACCCUUUGAAGAAACUGGAUCACUGUUGCAGGCCCCCUGAGAUGCUGAAAAACUGUGAGUCUGCUUGCUUUGUCAGUGGGGAAGCUGGUGGUCUGGGACAAGUUCUCAGCCCUGGUCACUGGUUGCCCUGAAAUAGACUUGGUACUGUUGUGCGGCACAGUGGGAAUGACACCAGCCGUUAGGGCUGCAGGCUGCAUGGGAGCAGGGUGAGGCCCAUGACUGCUGACUUUCCCGCACUUGCUGGCGAACUGUAUGAUUCAGCAGAAGCAGCCAUAAUCCCCCUGGGAAUAUAACUCCAUUGGACCGGACACCACACCCCCAUCCCCCACAGCAACCACAGCAAGUCACACCCAAGGAGAGGCUGAGCUCAGCCUUGCCUAUCCCUGCCCCUACCUGGUGCUCUUUCUCUACCCACCCUGGUAGCCAAAGACCAAGGUCAUAAUCUCUUGGGAGUUAUAUGGCCCUGCCCACCACCUGAGAAAUCUGAAUACUUAACCAGCUGUCCCUAGGGAAAGUUGGCAUCCUCUCUACAGGACCACAACUGAUGCACUCUUGAAAGCACCACCUCCUAGCUGGAGGCCAACCAACACAAAACUAGUGCACUAAACCAAAAUACAACCAAGGACCCUUACAGAGUCCACUUCACUCCCCUCCUACCUCCACUGGCUGCAAAACCUGAAGAUGGAUCACAUCACAGGACUCUUUGUAGACACUCCCCAGUACCAGCCCAGAGCCCAGUAGCUCCACUGGGUGGCUAGACCCAGAAGAGCAAAAACAGUCAUGACAGUUUGGCUCUCAGGAAGCCCCAUUUAUAGGGGAAGGGGGAGAACACUACAUCAAGGGAGCACCCCAUGGGACAAAAGAAUCUGAACAGCAGCUCUUGAAUUCCAGAUCUUCCCUCUGGUGUAGUCUACCCAAAUGAGAAAGAGCGAGAAAAAAAUUUCUGCUAAUACGACAAAACAAGUUUCUUUAACAGCCCCGAAAGAUUGCACCAGCUCACCGGCAAUGGAUCGAAACCAAGAUGAAAUCUUGGAAUAGCCAGAAAAAGAAUUCAGAAGGUUGAUUAUUAAGCUAAUAAAAGAGGCAGCAGAGAAAGAUGAAGUCCAACUUAAAUAAAUCAAAAACGUGAUGCAGGAUAUGAAAGGAAAAUUAUUCAGUGAAACAGCAUAAAUAAAAAAAAAUUACAAUUUCGAGAAAUCAGGGGCACAUAUAGAGAAAUGCAAAAGGCACUGGAAAGUCUCAGCAAUAGAAUCGAACAAGCAGAAGAAAGAACUUCAGAGCUCAAAGACAAGGCUUUCAAAUUAACCCAAUCCAUCAAAGAUAAAGAAAAAAGAAUUUUAGGCCAGGCGCGGUGGCUCACGCCUGUAAUCCCAGCACUUUGGGAGGCCAAGGCAGGUGGAUCACAAGGUCAGGAGAUCGAGACCAUCCUGGCAAACACGGUGAAACCCUGUCUCUACUAAAAAUACAAAAAAAAAAAAAAUUAGCCGGACAUAGUGGCAGGCACCUACAGUCCCAGCUACUCAGGAGGCUGAGGCAGGAGAAUGGCGUGAGCCCAGGAGGCGGAGCUUGCAGUGAGCCAAGAUCGCACCACUGCACUCUAGCCUGGGCGACAGAGCAAAACUCCGUCUCAAAAAAAAAAAAAAAAAAAAAAAAAAAAAGAAUUAAAAAAAAUGACUAAAGCAUCCAAGAAGUUUGAGACUAUGUUAAAUGUCCAAACCUAAGAAUAAUUAGUGUUCCUAAGGAAGAAGAGAAAUCUAAAAGUUUGGAAAACAUAUUUGAGGGAAUAAUCAAAGAAAACUUCCCUGGCCUUGCUGGAGAUCUGGACAAAUACAAGAAGUUCAAAGAACACCUGGGAAAUUCAUUGCAAAAAAGAUCAUUGCCUAGGCACAUAGUCAUCAAGUUAUCUAAAGUCAAGACAAACGAAAGAAUCUUAAGAGCUAUGAGGCAAAAGCAUCAGGUAAUCUAUAAAGGAAAACCUAUCAGAUUAACAGCAGAUUUCUCAGCAGAAACCCUACAAGCUAGAAUGAAUUCAGGUCCUAUUUUUAGCCUCCUUAAGCAAAACAAUUAUCAGCCACGAAUUUUGUAUCCAGAGAGAAACUAAGCUUCAUAAAUGAAGGAAAGAUGUAGUCUUCCCCAGACAAACAAAUGCUGAGAGAAUUCACUACUACCAAGCCAGCAGUACAAGAACUGCUAAAAAGAGCUCUAAAUAUUAAAAUAAAUCCUCAAAAUAUACCAAAAUAGAAUCUCCGUAAAGCAGAAAUCUCACAGGACCUAUAUGACAGUAACACAAUGCAAAAAAAAAAAAAAAAAAAUAUAUAUAUAUAUAUAUAUAUAUACAGGCAACAAAUAGCGCAAUGAAUAAAAUAGUACCUCACAUCUCAAUACUAACAUUGAAUGUAAAUAGCCUAAAUGCUCCACUUAAAAGAUACAGAAUGGCAGAAUGGAUAAGAAUUCACUAACCUAGUUUCUGCUGUCUUCAGGAGAUUCACGUAACACAUAAGGACUCACAUAAACUUAAGGUAAAGGGAUAGAAAAAUAUAUUCCAUGCAAAUGGACACCAAAAGUGAGCAAGAGUAGCUAUUCUCACAUCAGACAAAACAAACUUUAAGGCAACAGCAGUUAAAAAAGACAGAGGGACAUUAUAUAAUGAUAAAAGGACUAGUCCAACAGGAAAAUAUCACAAUUCUGAAUAUAUAUGCACCUAACACUGGACCUUUCGAUUUAUAAAACAGUUACUACUGGACUUAAGAAAUGAAAUAAACGGCAACACGAUAAAAGUGGGAGACUUUAAUACUUCACUGACAGCACUAGACAGGUCAUCAAGACAGAAAGUCAACAAAGAAACAAUGUACUUAAACUAUACCUUAUAAUAAAUAGACUUAACAGAUAUUUACAGAACAGUCUACCCAACAACUGCAGAAUAUAUAUUCUAUUCAUCAGUACAUGGAACAUUCUCCGAGAUAGACCACAUGAUAGGCCACAAAACAAGUCUCAGUAAAUUUAAGAAAAUCGAAAUUAUAUCGAGUACUCUCUCAGACCACAAUGGAAUAAAAUUGGAAAUCAACUCCAAAAGGAACCUUAAAAACCAUGCAAAUACAUGGAAAUUAAAUAACCUGCUCCUGAAUGAUCGUUGUGUCAGCAAUGAAAUCAAGAUGGAAAUUUAAAAAUUCUUUGAAUUGAAAGGUAAUAGUGACACAACCUAUCAAAACCUCUGGGAUACAGCAAAAGCAGUGCUAACAGGAUAGUUCAUAGCAUUGAAUGCCUACAUCAAAAAGUCUGAAAGAGCACCAAUAGACAAUCUAAGAUCAUACCUCAUGGAACUAGAGAAACAAGAACAAUCUAAACCCAAACCCAGGAGAAGAAAAGAAAUAACGAAGAUCAGAGCAGAACUAAAUGAAAUUGAAACAAACAAAAACAAUACAGAAGAUAAAUGAAACAAAAAGCUGGUUCUUUGAAAAGAUAAAUAAAACUGAUAGACCAUUAGCAAGAUUAACCAAGAAGAGAGAAGGUUCAAAUAAGCUCAAUUAGAAAUGAAAUGAGAGACAUUACAACUGAUACCACAGAAAUACAAAAGAUUAUUCAAGGCUACUAUGAACACCUUUAUGUGCAUAAACUAGAAAACCUACAGGAGAUGGAUAAAUUCCUGGAAAUAUACAACCCUCCUAGAUUAAACCAGGAAAAUAUAGAAUCUCUGAACAGACCAAUAACAAGCAAUGAGAUUGAAAUAGUAAUACAAAGAUUGCCAAUAACUAAAAAAUAAGUUCAGAACCAGACAGAUUCACAGCUGAAUUCUAUCAGACAUUCAAAGAAUUGGUACCAAUCCUAUUGACACUAUUCCAAAAGAUAGAAAAAGAGAGAAUCCUCCCCCAAAUCAUUCUAUGAAGACAGUUUCGCCAUAAUAUCAAAACCAGGGGAGGACAUAACAAAAAAGAAAACUGCAGACCAAUAUCCCUGAUGAACACAGAUGCAAAAAUCCUCAAGAAAAUACUAGUGAACCAAAUUCAACAACAUAUCAAAAAGAAAA